rnacentral:rRNA from 1 species
GUAGCACAGAGAGCUUGCUCUCGGGUGACGAGUGGCGGACGGGUGAGUAAUGUCUGGGAAACUGCCUGAUGGAGGGGGAUAACUACUGGAAACGGUAGCUAAUACCGCAUAACGUCGCAAGACCAAAGAGGGGGACCUUCGGGCCUCUUGCCAUCAGAUGUGCCCAGAUGGGAUUAGCUAGUAGGUGGGGUAACGGCUCACCUAGGCGACGAUCCCUAGCUGGUCUGAGAGGAUGACCAGCCACACUGGAACUGAGACACGGUCCAGACUCCUACGGGAGGCAGCAGUGGGGAAUAUUGCACAAUGGGCGCAAGCCUGAUGCAGCCAUGCCGCGUGUAUGAAGAAGGCCUUCGGGUUGUAAAGUACUUUCAGCGGGGAGGAAGGUGUUGUGGUUAAUAACCGCAGCAAUUGACGUUACCCGCAGAAGAAGCACCGGCUAACUCCGUGCCAGCAGCCGCGGUAAUACGGAGGGUGCAAGCGUUAAUCGGAAUUACUGGGCGUAAAGCGCACGCAGGCGGUCUGUCAAGUCGGAUGUGAAAUCCCCGGGCUCAACCUGGGAACUGCAUUCGAAACUGGCAGGCUAGAGUCUUGUAGAGGGGGGUAGAAUUCCAGGUGUAGCGGUGAAAUGCGUAGAGAUCUGGAGGAAUACCGGUGGCGAAGGCGGCCCCCUGGACAAAGACUGACGCUCAGGUGCGAAAGCGUGGGGAGCAAACAGG